GGCUUAUUAGCCCAGCUGGCUGAGAGCUUGUAGCCUCUGGGUAUGCUGCUCCUGUCGUUGGCUCAAAUCCAACAUAAGCCC
rnacentral:tRNA from 1 species